AUUGAACGCUGGCGGCAGGCCUCACACAUGCAAGUCGAACGAGUGGCGGACGGGUGAGUAAUGUCUUGGAAACUGCCUGAUGGCGGGGGAUAACUACUGGAAACGGUAGCUAAUACCGCAUACCAUCGGAUGUGCCCAGAUGGGAUUAGCUAGUAGGUGGGGUAAAGGCUCACCUAGGCCACGAUCCCUAGCUGGUCUGAGAGGAUGACAAGCAACAAUGGAACUGAGACACGGGCCAGACUCCUACGGGAGGCAGCAGUGGGGAAUAGUGCACAAUGGGCGCAAGCCUGAUGCAGCCAUGCCGCGUGUAUGAAGAAGGCCUUAGGGUUGUAAAGUACUUUCAGCGGGGAGGCGUUACCCGCAGAAGAAGCACCGGCUAACUCCGUGCCAGCCGCCGCGGUAAUAC
rnacentral:rRNA from 1 species